AUGGAGAAGAUCAAAUCCAUGUUUGAAAAGAUCCAUCAUAUGCAUAUCUGUUGCGGUGUUAUAUGUACUACUCACAUCCCAUUUGUACCAACUGCUCCAAACAUUGAGAAGAAUGACAUCACUCAGAUGCAAGUCAUGGUUGAUCCAAGGAUGAGGUUCAUGGAUGAUUGGUUUGGACCGGCAGAUAGCAAGAACCAGUUGAGCCUAUUGCAUGACUCUGAAAUCUUCAAGGAGUCUGAGAAGGGUGAUUGGCUGAACGGCAUCAAGUUGAAGGUAGCGGUAGAUGGAUCAGAAGUUGGGGAAUAA
rnacentral:rRNA from 1 species